UCAUGUGUGGGUCCAGUCACUCCUACCGAGGGCCUUCUUCUGUGCGGUCAGAAAGGAUGAACUCCAGGAACCCCAACUUCACAUUUCCCUGACAUGCAGGCUCCGGGCAGAAAGCAACUGCAGCAGGCAAGUCCUUGCAAGAUUCUGAUUGGCCUAGGUUGGAUCACAUGCACACCUCUGAACCAAUCAGGAUACCCAGGGCUCGCCCCAGGUCAGAGUUUACCCUCGUGGUGUGGGAGGGGCCAGGGCGCCAUACUGGGGCGCCUCUUGGACCACGCGGUGUGUGGCAGGGAUGGUUCCUCCAAAGGAAGGGCUGUGUGCCCAGAACAAUAUCCAACCACCAUGAGCAUUCAUUUCGUGUUUUAUGUCGGACACUGAAGAGGCACAUGCAGGGCCAAGAAAUAGCUUUGGUGCCAAGAUGUUGGGACUCCCAAGAACCCAUCUGGUGGUGCUUCCAGUGCGCAUGGGCCCUUGGCCACCCGCCACCAGACGCGAAGAGCUCAGACGCCCGUGGAAUUAGCAAAUGGAUCUUCUGAUAAUGAACCUCCAAGGACACACUCCAGGAUCCCAUAUGGCAUGUGGAUGGGCUUUAUUUUUGAUUCCUUCAUUUUGAGAAACAGAGAGGACAUCUGAGUAGAAUUUUCCCUUCAAAGCACGGGCGAUCUUCUCCCUGGGCCCGGCUGCACGUGACAGGAAGGUAGGGGUGGGUUGGCAAGAGUCGACCUGCCAAGGCUUUCGUUUCCGCUUUAUGAAUUGCUCGACGUGUUACCUCUCUGCAGCUACCUGGGAGGAUUUUGCAGGGAAUCGUGCGUAAAGUCAGGUGAGGCAUCGUAUGACCCGCCAAGUCCCCUUGCACCUGCUAAGGCGCCGAAUCGGAGGGGGGCUCAGAAGAGCUGCGGUGUGGCCAAGGACAUCUCCCAAGUCUGCUCCCGUCGUAGCGGCGGGGAGAAGCCCCCUGGCCUGCUUAUUGUCUCUACCGAGGUAGAUAUGGCCGCAGGACUGUGAUUGCCUUUGGCUCUCUAGACGUGCCCGCUCAGUGGCCGACGUAAAGAAGCUGCUCAUUAUGUAGGGGUGGAAAGAAGGGAGGGGCGUGCGGGAGAAACGAGUAGUCUGAAUCCCUAGAACUCAAAUCAUGAGCAUUCGGGGGCUAAGUUAAUUGCUUGAGUUAGGAUUUAAUUAGGAUUUAACACAACAGCUGUUUUAUCUCGAACACCAACUGCAGAUGACGGCCCCGCGGUCCGGUUACCUGCCGGAGACCGUAUGCACUUAAGAUAAGCUUCCAUAAACCGAGGGCAACAACGGACCGCAUUUAGAAGGCAGGAGAAACCUCGUCAAGCCCUAAAGGGAAAGUCGGCCGAUAGCUCGUACCUGCGGACGAGGCUGGCGACGGCGGGCACAGCAGAAGCCCACUCGCUAAGACGGGCCGUCAGGAGAGCUGGGAUUGAGCCGUGGUGGUUUAUUAACCGUGUCACGUUGCGCGAGUCCCCUACCAGGGUCUCCGCGGCCUCGUCCAGGAGGUGAGGAUCCCUUCCAGCCGCCUAGAUCCCUGCCAGCCGGGAAGCUGUGCCGACCCACGAGCACACUUGGGCUUCCAGGCUUCCGCCUGAGACUCAAAGAACGAAGGCGGUCAGAAUUCCUUUCGUUUGAGUCCCCAGCGCGGCCUUUGGGUGCGUUCCCUUCACCCUCUCUGGUCUCUCUUCCGCCACUCUGGAGUUUACGGGUCAGGGAGGGAGAGCGCCAGUACCUGUGUCUGCCUCCUGCACGGAAGGUCGUGACCAUGGGCCUACAUGGGAUGCAGUCCUCGGUGACCGGCGCCCGGCCGAGGGCGGGCAGGGAGUAGGCCUCUCCAGAGAGGGGGCAAACGGGUGGAUGGAUGCACGAAUGCCCCGCGUUUGCAUCAGCAGCUUCCUUCCUGCCCCUCUGCCCUGAGAACGCCUUUCCGUACCGAGCAGAAAUGGUGGAGGGCCUUACCCCCCCGCCCCCCAGCACCCUUAGAGAAGAAGGAGAUCUACCUUUUUUAGAACGAGAUACAACGCGGUCUCGAAUCCGGCGUUCCCACCUACCAGCUGUGUGAUCUCGGCCAAGUUGCUUAACCGCUCUGGGUCUCUGUUUCCUCCUGCGUCAAAUGGGGAAUUAUGCUGUCUCCCUCUUGGGGCUGCUGUAGGGAUUAGAGAUCAGCCGUGGGAAGUGUUUAACGCAGGGCUUGACAUGCAGCUGGUGAUAAACAAAGCAGCAGGUGCAGGGCUCGGUGUUGUUGGCUCUUACGUUCACCGCCGCGAGGUUACCCAUGGCAGCUGCCGUCUGGCAUUCUUUUACAGACGGGGGCGAAACGACAGCUCAGCGCCAUAGUUUACGAGGGUUAGAGCUGAUUCUAGAGCGCAGGAUCUAGAAUCCGGGUUCUAGAACCCUCCCAAGGAGAUCCCCCUUUGUCUUUGGUGUUCUGGCAUUUCCACUAUACUGAGUGGCGUGGAUUUCUCUCUCCUUUUCCUCUCGGGCCACAGCGAGAUGGGUACGUGGCCCGGAGGCCCUUCCUGAUGCACCUCACUGACUCGGGCACAGGUGCCAUCCUUGGGCCUCAGUGUGGGGAAGCAAGGCCGUGAGGCUUCUGGUAAAGUCGGUGUGGCUGUGGGUUCCCCUGUGUGGGGACAGCGAGGACACUGGACGCCCGGAAGCAAAGGGGGUGUGGCCUCGGGUAAGCAGUCACAGACACCGUGUCUGGUCGGAUCCCAGGAGACGGUGGCCUGAUCCUUUCUGCCCUGCCACUGGGGUUUGGGAGAGAAGAGGUCCCGGCAGAAGGCUGUGCCCCAGGCCUCCUCCGAGGGGACAGCUACCUGGAGCGGGCCCCGGGCUCCAGACGGCAGAGCAGAGGAGGCCCAAGAGGGCCGCUGGAUGUGCCAAGCAGGCUCCAUAGAGGCUGCGAGACGGCUCCCGGGCCCCUCCCUUCUCUCCCUGCAUCAGGCCUCCUGCCAGCCGCCCAACAGAGGUCCCUGCACAUCGGCCUUGGCCUGGGAGACAGAAUGGGAUUCACCUGCUCUAAAAAGCGACGGUCUCGACUUGCCCAAGGUUACACCCGCACUGAGGGUCACAGCCGUGAUUUGGGGUGUUCCCCGAGGGACAACAUUCUCGUCCUGCCCGCUCAUUCCCAAACGGCCUCCAGUCCCUCUUCCAGCUCCGUGCCCACGCGAGGUUGCGCUCAGAGGUUCGGAUGGCACAGGAGCAAGACGUCUGUCCCCGCGCUCUCGGGAGAUGGCUAUUUCCCAUCACCGUAUCGUCAUCUAAAAAAAAUGCAGAGCCCCACAGAUGAAUCUGGCCUCUGCUGCUUGGGAGCCACAAGACUCAGGAUGAGGCCAGGAAGCCCAGACCGCACAACGACAGCGACGAUGCUCAUUAUCCUACCUGCCCCCCUUCUCGCGGCCCCCAAGGUGUGGGGACACACACUGACUGAAGUCACAGCAAACGGGGCUGGCGCUGCCCUGGCCGCCGAGAAACACACCCACUACUCUCCUUUCUAAUGAAAGGCCUCCCGUUAAUCUCUGUUAGUGCCGCCUCUGCUGGAGCAUGAAUUAUUCAGAGAAGUCUCUGUUCCGUUAUCUCCCCUCCCCGGGGACGCCCCUACCAUUGUCCGCCCUGAUGGGUCAUUAUGCACUCUGUGAAUUUAAUCUUUCAGGCUAUCCGGCCCCGUGCAGAAAAAAUGUAUGAAUAACAAUUUUCCUGUAAUAACCUUCAA